rnacentral:rRNA from 1 species
AGGAUGGUAGACAGGCCGGUUUUUGGAAUCCGGUGCAAGUGCGUAGGCGUGCUCCGCAGGCAAAUCCGCGGAGAUGAGCCGAGACACGAGUCCGUGGGCGUAAGCCCUGAAGCUGUUGAGCCACGGCUGCCAAGAAAAGCUUCUAAGUUUAGAUCGCGCGAACCGUACCGCAAACCAACUCAGGUGGAUGGGAUGAAUAAUCCAAGGCGCUCGAGAGAACUCUGGCCAAGGAACUCGGCAAAUUGACCCCGUACCUUCGGAAUAAGGGGUGCUCCCCACGGUAAGACAAAUACUUGUUCAGCCCCGGGGAGCCGCAGAGAAAUGGUGGUGGCGACUGUUUACUAAAAACAUAGGUCUGUGCGAAGUCCUACAGACGACGUAUACGGACUGACGCCUGCCCGGUGCCGGAAGGUUAAAAGGAGGAGUCAGCGCAAGCGAAGCUCCGAUUUGAAGCCCCGGUAAACGGCGGCCGUAACGAUAACGGUCCUAAGGUAGCGAAAUUCCUUGUCGGGCAAGUUCCGACCUGCACGAAUGGCGUAACGAUCUCCACGCUGUCUCGGCCAGAGACUCGGUGAAAUUGAAGUCGCGGUGAAAAUGCCGUGUACCCGCAGAAAGACGGAAAGACCCUGUGCACCUCUACUAUAGCUUGACAUUGGGUUUUGAACCUGCAUGUGUAGGAUAGGUGGGAGGCUGUGAAAGCUGUACGCCAGUAUGGCCGGAGCCACCCGUGAAAUACCACCCUUGUUUGUUCAGGACCCUAACUCGCAGCUGUAAUCCAGCGCGAAGACAGUGUCUGGUGGGUAGUUUGACUGGGGCGGUCGCCUCCUAAAGAGUAACGGAGGCAUGCAAAGGUUCCCUCAGGCUGAUUGGAAACCAGCCGUUGAGUGCAAGCGCAUAAGGGAGCCUGACUGCAAGAGAGACAUCUCGAACAGAUACGAAAGUAGGUGCUAGUGAUCCGGUGGUCCCGAAUGGAAGGGCCAUCGCUCAUUGGAUAAAAGGUACGCCGGGGAUAACAGGCUGAUCGCAUCCAAGAGUUCACAUCGACGAUGCGGUUUGGCACCUCGAUGUCGGCUCAUCACAUCCUGGGGCUGAAGCAGGUCCCAAGGGUACGGCUGUUCGCCGUUUAAAGUGGUACGCGAGCUGGGUUUAAAACGUCGUGAGACAGUUUGGUCCCUAUCUUCUGUGGGCGUAGGAGAAUUGAGAGGGUUUGUCCCUAGUACGAGAGGACCGGGAUGAACGCACCACUGGUGGAUCAGUUGUCGCGCCAGCGGCAUAGCUGAGUAGCUAUGUGCGGAAUGGAUAACCGCUGAAAGCAUCUAAGCGGGAAGCCAGCCUCGAGAUAAGUUCUCCCUGUCGCAAGACACUAAAGGGCCGAUGAAGACUACAUCGUUGAUAGGCCGGAGGUGGAAGCGCUGCGAAGCGUGGAGCUGACCGGUACUAAUAGCCCGUGCGC